rnacentral:rRNA from 1 species
UCAGGCCUAACACAUGCAAGUCGAACGGCAGCGCGGGCUUCGGCCUGGCGGCGAGUGGCGAACGGGUGAGUAAUGCAUCGGAACGUGCCCAAGAGUGGGGGAUAACUAGUCGAAAGAUUAGCUAAUACCGCAUACGAUCUAAGGAUGAAAGUGGGGGACCGCAAGGCCUCAUGCUCCUGGAGCGGCCGAUGUCUGAUUAGCUAGUUGGUGGGGUAAAAGCCUACCAAGGCGACGAUCAGUAGCUGGUCUGAGAGGACGACCAGCCACACUGGGAGUGAGACACGGCCCAGACUCCUACGGGAGGCAGCAGUGGGGAAUUUUGGACAAUGGGGGAAACCCUGAUCCAAAAGUGCCGCGUGUGUGAAGAAGGCCUUCGGG